rnacentral:sRNA from 1 species
CACAAACGAGGAAAUGAUGGCAGAGUUAGUUUAAUAAAACAGAGGGAAUCUACGUUAGGUAUCAUGUAUCGGAGUGAACUGCUUUCUUUUAUCAAAAAAUUACGAGUAAGUUUUAUUAAAAAUUGCUCUAAUUACUAUUGCUGGUUUUUGUAGAAUAUGACUAAAAAUUAUUGGGUACUUCAAAUACUGACUAAAUUAUUAUUUGUUUUUUAAUUUUUUUUUAAGGGACAGGGUCUUGAUCUGUCACCCAAGCUGGAGUGCUGAG